AACCUUUCAGUUCCUAAGUAUGAGGAUUGGGUGUUCAUGCUGUUGUGUGAGAUGUGCCUCCCUCUGAACCUUGUUAUGAUGCCAACACGUUACCUAUCUGACG
rfam:Ictidomys tridecemlineatus contig023960, whole genome shotgun sequence.